rnacentral:sRNA from 1 species
CGCAAACCUUAACCAUUCUUCAGUGCCGCAGACAUCUUUCUUGAGAUACCAAGUUAAACAUGUGCACUGGUGCUGAAUCUCGAGGAAAUAUAAAUGGUGAGCCUGUGAUUCCAAAGGUGGGAGGAGACUAUGAGGGGAAUAGAAUGAGAACCAUAGAAGAUGGAGAAAGAGAGAGAGCUUGUUACAACUGUGGCACAUUCAUUCAAGGUCUUCUUCAAC